rnacentral:rRNA from 1 species
UACGUAGGCAGCGAGCGUUUGUUCGGAGUUACUGGGCGUAAAGGGUGUGUAGGCGGUUCUUUAAGUUUGGUGUGAAAUCUCCCGGCUCAACCGGGAGGGUGCGCCGAAUACUGAGGGACUAGAGUAUGGGAUGGGGAAAGUGGAAUUCCUGGUGUAGCGGUGAAAUGCGUAGAUAUCAGGAGGAACACCUGUGGUGUAGACGGCUUUCUGGACCAUAACUGACGCUGAGACACGAAAGCGUGGGUAGCAAACAGG